GUACUUACGUUGACCGCUGUUGGGUGUUGUGUGUUGGAUGUUCUCUUGCUGUGUCGCGUGCAACAAGAACGGUAGAAGAGUUUCUGAACUCCGGUCGCCUCGGCAGUGGGCCAUUGGCCAGCAAAGUCGCGUUUUCCUAAACCCAUAGUUCAUACCGUGUCGUCUGGCGUGGACGUAGACCACUGUUGGGUGCUGUGUCGCGUACAAGAACCGUGGAAGAAUUUCUGAACCCUGUCCGCCCCGGCAGUGGGCCAUUGGCCAGCAAAGGCACACAGCGAUCGGACUGAGCAUAUCAAGUAGCCCCUCCU